UACGUAGGGUGCAAACGUUGCUCGGAAUCAUUGGGCGUAAAGCGCACGUAGGCGGCCUGUUAAGUCGGAUGUGAAAGCCCCGGGCUCAACUCGGGAAGUGCAUUCGAAACUGGCAGGCUUGAAUAUGGAAGAGGGUCGCGGAAUUCCCGGUGUAGAGGUGAAAUUCGUAGAUAUCGGGAGGAACACCAGUGGCGAAGGCGGCGACCUGGGCCAAUAUUGACGCUGAGGUGCGAAAGCGUGGGGAGCAAACAGG
rnacentral:rRNA from 1 species